GCACUGCUGAUGAAACCGAAGCAGGUCGAAACAGCUGUCCAGUGC
rnacentral:hammerhead_ribozyme from 1 species